rnacentral:rRNA from 1 species
AGCAAUUACAAAGCGAAACUGCGAAUGGCUCAUUAUAUAAGUUAUCGUUUAUUUGAUAGUACCUUACUACAUGGAUAACCGUGGUAAUUCUAGAGCUAAUACAUGCUGAAAAUCCCGACUUCGGAAGGGAUGUAUUUAUUAGAUUCAAAACCAAUGCCCUUCGGGGCUCCAAUGGUGAUUCAUGAUAACUUCUCGAAUCGCACGGCCCCGCGCCGGCGAUGGUUCAUUCAAAUUUCUUCCCUAUCAACUUUCGAUGCUACGGUAGUGUCCUAGCAUGGUUGCAACGGGUAACGGGG